GGGGGGAGGCCGGAUUCUGGGCUGUGUCCCCGGCGCCCUGUGCUCCCAGGCCUGCGCUGUUGCACUCGCACUCCCGGCUGCGCAGCCCCCU
rnacentral:pre_miRNA from 1 species